GCUGUGAUGGCCGAGUGGUUAAGGCGUUGGACUUGAUAUCCAAUGCGGAUCUUCCCGCGCAGGUUCGAACCCUGCUCGCAGCG